ACUUCUGAGCCAUCUCUCCAGCUCCCGUAAAUCUUUAUAAAAACAAAUGCAAACAGGGCUGGAGAGAUGGCUCAGAGGU
rnacentral:pre_miRNA from 1 species